rnacentral:rRNA from 1 species
AACGAACGCUGGCGGCAUGCCUAACACAUGCAAGUCGAACGAGACCUUCGGGUCUAGUGGCGCACGGGUGCGUAACGCGUGGGAACCUGCCCUUAGGUUCGGAAUAACUCCCCGAAAGGGGUGCUAAUACCGGAUAAUGUCUUCGGACCAAGGAUUUAUCGCCUUUGGAUGGGCCCGCGUUGGAUUAGCUAGUUGGUAGGGUAAAAGGCUACCAAGGCGACGAUGCAUAGCUGGUCUGAGAGGAUGAUCAGCCACACUGGGACUGAGACACGGCCCAGACUCCUACGGGAGGCAGCAGUGGGGAAUAUUGGACAAUGGGCGAAAGGCUGAUCCAGCAAUGCCGCGUGAGUGAUGAAGGCCUUAGGGUUGUAAAGCUCUUUUAACCGGGAUGAUAAUGACAGUACCGGGAGAAUAAGCUCCGGCUAACUCCGUG